UACGAAGGGGGCUAGCGUUGUUCGGAAUACUGGGCGUAAAGCGCGCGCAGGCGGUCCUUCAAGUCAGAGGUGAAAGCCCAGAGCUCAACUCUGGAAUGGCCUUUGAGACUAGAGGACUUGGGUACGGGAGAGGUGAGUGGAAUUCCGAGUGUAGAGGUGAAAUUCGUAGAUAUUCGGAAGAACACCAGUGGCGAAGGCGGCUCACUGGCCCGUUAC
rnacentral:rRNA from 1 species